rnacentral:rRNA from 1 species
UACAGAGGGGGCAAGCGUUAUUCGGAAUUACUGGGCGUAAAGGGCUCGUAGGUGGCCAACUAAGUCAGACGUGAAAUCCCUCGGCUUAACCGGGGAACUGCGUCUGAUACUGGAUGGCUUGAGUUCGGGAGAGGGAUGCGGAAUUCCAGGUGUAGCGGUGAAAUGCGCAGAUAUCGGGAGGAACACCGGUGGCGAAGGCGGCUCUCUGGACCGAGACUGACGCUGAGGCGCGAAAGCGUGGGGAGCAAACAGG